UACGUAGGGGGCGAGCGUUAUCCGAAGUUACUGGGCGUAAAGCGCGCGUAGGCGGGCUAUUAAGUCGGAUGUGAAAUCUCCACGGCUCAACCGGGAAACAGCAUCCGAAACUGGUAGCCUUGAGGUAUGGAGAGGGAAGUGGAAUUCCAGGUGUAGCGGUGAAAUGCGUAGAUAUCUGGAGGAACACCCGUGGCGAAGGCGGCUUCCUGGCCAUAUCCUGACGCUGAGGUGCGAAAGCCAGGGGAGCGAA
rnacentral:rRNA from 1 species